CCCUGCCUUUUGUACACACCGCCCGUCGCACCUACCGAUUGAAUGGUCCGGUGAGGUUCUCGGACUGCCACGCUGACGUUUUCGGACGACGGCUGUGACAGGAAGUUACCCAAACCUUACCAUUUAGA
rnacentral:rRNA from 1 species